rnacentral:rRNA from 1 species
GACGAACGCUGGCGGCGUGCCUAACACAUGCAAGUCGAGCGGGAAAGUUCCCUUCGGGGAGCGAGUACAGCGGCGAACGGGUGAGUAACACGUAGGCAACCUACCCCGGAGACCGGGAUAACCUGUCGAAAGGCGGGCUAAUACCGGAUAAGACCACGAGGGCCUCGGCCCUUGAGGUAAAAGGUGGCCUCUGCUUGCAAGCUAUCACUCCAGGAUGGGCCUGCGCGCCAUUAGCUAGUUGGUGAGGUAACGGCUCACCAAGUCGAAGAUGGCUAGCUGGUCUGAGAGGAUGGCCAGCCACACUGGGACUGAGAUACGGCCCAGACUCCUACGGGAGGCAGCAGUGGGGAAUCUUGCGCAAUGGGCGAAAAGCCUGACGCAGCGACGCCGCGUGGGUGAUGAAGGCCUGGUCGUAAG